GUGCUGAUGAAGAGUUGCACACUAAGACGAAACAGCUGUCCAGUAC
rnacentral:hammerhead_ribozyme from 1 species